rnacentral:rRNA from 1 species
UACGUAGGGUGCAAGCGUUAUCCGGAAUUAUUGGGCGUAAAGAGCUCGUAGGCGGUUUGUCGCGUCUGCUGUGAAAACCCGAGGCUCAACCUCGGGCCUGCAGUGGGUACGGGGCAGACUAGAGUGCGGUAGGGGAGAUUGGAGUUCCUGGUGUAGCGGUGGAAUGCGCAGAUAUCAGGAGGAACACCGAUGGCGAAGGCAGAUCUCUGGGCCGUAACUGACGCUGAGGAGCGAAAAGCGUGGGGGAGCGAACAGG